UUUCGCAAUGCCCGAAAGGGUGAACGAGCGACGCCGCGUGCGGGAUGAAGGGUUUCGGCUUGUAAACCGCUUUUCUUUGGGAAGAAGGUCCGCCUCGUGCAGGCGGGUUUGACGGUACCAGAGGAAUAAGCCUCGGCUAACUCCGUGCCAGCAGCCGCGGUAAGACGGAGGAGGCGAGCGUUGUUCGGAAUUAUUGGGCGUAAAGGGCGCGUAGGCGGAUCGGCAUGUCUGGCGUGAAAUCUCCACCGCUUAACGGGGAGAGGUCGCUGGAAACUACCGAUCUGGAGUUCGGCAGAGGGUCAUGGAAUUCCAGGUGUAGCGGUGGAAUGCGUAGAUAUCAGGAGGAACGCCGGUGGCGAAAGCGACUCUCUGGACUGCUUCUGACACUGAUGCGCGAAAGCUAGGGGAGCAAACAGGAUUAGAUACCCUGGUAGUCCUAGCUGUAACCGAUGGGCACUAAGUAGAGGGGUUUU
rnacentral:rRNA from 1 species